AUAUCUUCGUAACAUUAAGGACGGACCAACUAAGUUUUUUACGUGCUGUGGAGGAACGUGGUUUCCAUCUCAGGAGUCCCGGAUUUCCUAUUGCAAGAUUUCGAAAUUAAAUUAAAGCUGAUGUGAAAAAAAUCCACAGGGACUGAUAUUCUGGAGGAACACUUGAAUGCCUAUAGCCUCUUUUCAAUCAAGGAUUCUCCCACAACAAAACAAAUAACAC